GACGAAGGUGGCGAGCGUUGUUCGGAAUCACUGGGCAUAAAGCGCACGUAGGCGGUGCCGUAAGUCAGAUGUGAAAUCCCUCGGCCUAACCGAGGAACUGCGUCUGAUACUGCGGUGCUUGAGGAUCAGAGGGGUGCAUGGAAUUUCCGGUGGAGCGGUGAAAUGCGUUGAUAUCGGGAGGAACUCCAGCGGCGAAGGCGAUGCACUGGCUGAUUUCUGACGCUGAGGUGCGAAAGCCAGGGGAGCAAACGGG
rnacentral:rRNA from 1 species